rnacentral:rRNA from 1 species
UACGUAGGUGGCGAGCGUUAUCCGGAUUUAUUGGGUUUAAAGGGAGCGUAGGCGGCUAAUUAAGUCAGUGGUUAAGGUAGCAGCUUAACUGUUUUACAUGCCAUUGAUACUGGUUAGCUUGAGUUGACGGAAGGCAGAUAGAAUUUCUGGUGUAGCGGUGAAAUGCUUAGAUACCAGAAGGAAUACCGAUUGCGAAGGCAGUCUGCUGCAGUCACACUGACGCUGAGGCUCGAAGGUGCGGGGAUCAAACAGG